rnacentral:rRNA from 1 species
AGAGGGUGCAAGCGUUAAUCGGAAUUACUGGGCGUAAAGCGCGCGUAGGUGGUUUGGUAAGUCGGAUGUGAAAUCCCCGGGCUUAACCUGGGAAUUGCAUUCGAUACUGCCUGACUCGAGUGUGGAAGAGGGAAGCGGAAUUUCCGGUGUAGCGGUGAAAUGCGUAGAUAUCGGAAGGAACACCAGUGGCGAAGGCGGCUUCCUGGUCCAACACUGACACUGAGGCGCGAAAGCGUGGGUAGCGAAC